GGCGAAUCAGACGGAGGAGGUGAAGGGUGCCCAUUCAUGAUGCUGUAAGUGGAAAGAUGGGGUGGAACGCGGAAUGGAAAAGAUUCAAGAGUAGAUGAAUGAGGUUAGCCCUCUGCGUUUGAAGCGACAAAUCGGCCGUCAGCACGCAUGUCGGAGACCAGGCACCAUAGCGUUCUGUCUUCCUCUCUUGCUUGCUUUCUGCAGAUGUUCUUUUUACCUAUUCAGCAGAGACAGGGUGACAGUGGGCUGUGACAGCUUUCCCUAAUGACCCGUGAGUGGCCGCUUCUGUGUGCUGACAUUUUGGGUGGCAGCACAGAUGCCAGGCAUGCAGAGGGGGGCGUUACUGCCGCUGGCAGAUCUCACUCCAAAUAAAUUACUGUCAGAGG